CUGCUUUCUUCCUUGUUCCACGAAUGCCCUGUGGAUCUGAGCCUGCCCAUGGCACCCAGCACUCCAGCCCUUGCUGCUCCCCUCCCUGAGCUGAGCCCUCUGCUGGACCCGUCUCAGGCCCUGUGGAGCUGCUGGAUGUCCCCGCAAGUGUCCCCUGAGGUGACCAGGCCACCACCCUAAAGGCACAUCUUGCUAACUGCUGUCCCCAUGCCAGGAACGGUGCACCCAGCAGGUCCUCAAGCCACAGCAAAGACAAGAUGGUGGAAAGACGUAUUCAAUGUUCGGCGGGAGAGUGGCUGCAACCUGUACUCCUGCUGCAGAGAAUCUGACGCUGUCAUGAACCUGUGUGGAAAAGAUAUUGACAGACCAAAAGCUCAUCCGAACGUCCCAUCACUGGCACCUUCCUAAGGGACACUGUCUUGAGCAGAAAGAAAGUGGUUCAGAAUGAACAUGGUUGGAAGUCUGAGACUCAGGAAGAGUGAAGGGCAAAGAGGAAUGUAUGUAGUAAAUCUAAAAACCACUGGCUGUGCAAGCGAUGAUGAUAAUCAUGCCCAGUAGACUGUUAAAAACAUUAUUAAACAGGCUGACAGCAAUAGCAGGAAGUCAGAAGGGAGCACGGGACUUCACAUUUUCCAGGCUUCAAAGUCGAUAUAUUGCCAGGUGGGUAUAAGUGUGACUUCCUUCACUUUAGAUUUUGAUAAGUUUAACGUGCAAUGAGUAAUUUGUAGGCAGUGAGUAAAACACCAGAAACAGAGUCUGUAACCUCCAAACCAGAAGAAGGAAAAACCAAAAUGAGAGAAGAAGCGUCAAUGAAAACUAAGGCAAGAACAGAGAGAAAAAGGAACAUAGAAUAGAUGAGAUCAACAAAAGUUAAAUGAAAUCAAAUGGUAGGUACUGUGGUCAUCAGGCUCCAAGGCAGCCCCCAGUGAUCCUCACCCCCAGGCAAUCACGCAUGUGUGCUCCCCUCCUGUCUGGAUCAGGAUUGAGGUGCAUGGCCAGUAGAAUAUAGGGGCAGCAGGGGUAUGUGAUGUCUUGGGUGAGGUCAUAAAGACCUCAUGAAUCUAGUGGUCUCUCUUGAAUCACUCACUGGAGGAAGCCAGCUGCCAUGUUGUGAGGACACUCAGCCCUGUGGAAGGUCCACGUGGGAGGGACUGAUGGGGGGUGCACCAUCAGGGAGGUGGGUCCCCAGCUCCAGGCAAACCUUCAGAUGAGGCUGCCUCAGUUCACACCGGGACUGAGCUUCAGAAGCAUCCCUGAAGCAGCACCAUGCCGAGGAGCCCUUCUCGGACUCCUGAGCCACAGAAAAUGUGGAGGAUAAAUGUUUGCUUUGCCACAGCUCUGCUUUGCAGUGAUUUCUUAUGCAGAAUCAAUCACCACAGAAUCCAUGUACAUGAUUACAUUAAACGUAAAUGUUACAUGCACUGGUUAAAAGACACUGGCAGUCCGGAAUUUUAUGCAGAGAAAUAUGUAAAACAUAAGCUUAUAUAAUGAUGAAAGAAAAAACAUACCAGGAAAAUCCUCACCAAAAUAAAAUUAGUAACAAUCUGAAAACUCUAAAGCAAGAACUGACAGAAUUACAUGCAUCUUAUCAUACUUUUCUUAGUAACUGAUAAGCAAACUAAGAAAAUGAAAUAUGUCAACAACACAAUAAACAAAUCUGGCCCAACUCAUGAUACUGAACAAUUUCAGAAUUACAUAUUAUUUGCACCAAGAAAUAUUUACAAAAAUUGAUGACCAAAAGCAACUGACAAUCAUCUAAUGACUCACAAUCCUCCAUCUGACAUGUACUCCUCCAUCUGACAUGCACUCCUCCAUCUGACGUGCACUCCUCCAUCUGAUGUGCACUCCUCCAUCUGACGUGCACUCCUCCAUCUGACGUGCACACCUCCAUCUAACGUGCCCUCCUCCAUCUGAUGACGUGCACUCCUCCAUCUGACGUGCAUUCCUCCAUCUGACAAUGUGUACUCCUCCAUCUGACGUGCACUACUCCAUCUGACGAAAUGCACUCCUCCAUCAGAUGAUGUGUACUCCUCCAUCUGACGUGCACUCCUCCAUUUGACGUGAACUCCUCCAUCUAACGACGUGUACCCCUCCAUCUGACAACGUGCACUCCUCCAUCUGACAACAUGCACUCCUCCAUCUGACAACGUGCACUCCUCCAUCUGACAUGUACUCCUCCAUCUGACGAUGUGCACUCCAUCUGAUGUGCAUUCCUCCAUCUGAUGAUGUGUACUCCUUCAUCUGACGUGCACUCCGCCAUCUGACAACAUGCACUCCUCCAUCUGACGUGCACUCCUCCAUCUGACAACGUGCACUCCUACAUCUGACGACGUGCACUCCUCCAUCUGACGUGCACUCCUCCAUCUGACGUGCACUCCUCCAUCUGAAUGUGUACUCCUCCAUCUGAUGAUGUGUACUCCUCCAUCUGACAUGCACUCCUCCAUCUGACGUGCAUUCCUCCAUCUGACGUGCACUCCUCCAUCUGACAACGUGCAUUCCUCCAUCUGAUGUGCACUCCUCCAUCUGACCUGCACUCCUCCAUCUGAUGAUGUGCACUCCUCCAUCUGAUGUGCACUCUUCCAUCUGACAUUCACUCCUCCAUCUGAUGAUGUGUACUCCUCCAUCUGAUGUGCACUCCUCCAUCUGACGUGCACUCCUCCAUCUGAUGUGUACUCCUCCAUCUGACGUGCACUCCUCCAUCUGACGACAUGUACUCCUCCAUCUGACAAUGUGCACUCCUCCAUCUGAUGUGCACUCCUCCAUCUGACGAUGUGUACUCCUCCAUCUGAUGUGCACUCCUCCAUCUGAUAUGCACUCCUCCAUCUGACAUGCACUCCUCCAUCUGAUGACGUGCACUCCUCCAUCUGAUGUGCACUCCUCCAUCUGAUGAUGUGUACUCCUCCAUCUGACGUGCACUCCUCCAUGUGACGACGUGCACUCCUCCAUCUGACAUGCACUCCUCCAUCUGAUGACGUGCACUCCUCCAUCUGACGUGCACUCCUCCAUCUGAUGUGCACUCCUCCAUCUGAUGAUGUGUACUCCUCCAUCUGAUGUGCACUCCUCCAUCUGACGACGUGCACUCCUCCAUCUGACAUGCACUCCUCCAUCUGAUGAUGUGCACUCCUCCAUCUGACGACGUGCACUCCUCCAUCUGACAUGCACUCCUCCAUCUGAUGAUGUGCACUCCUCCAUCUGACGUGCACUCCUCCAUCUGAUGUGCACUCCUCCAUCUGACGUGCACUCCUCCAUCUGACGACGUGCACUCCUCCAUCUGACAUGCACUCCUCCAUCUGACGACGUGCACUCCUCCAUCUGAUAUGCACUCCUCCAUCUGAUGACAUGCACUUCUCCAUCUGACGUGCACUCCUCCAUCUGAUGAUGUGUACUCCUCCACCUGACAUGCAGUCCUCCAUCUGACGUGCACUCCUCCAUCUGACGACGUGCACUCCUCCAUCUGACGUGCACUCCUCCAUCUGAUGAUGUGCGCUCCUUCAUCUGACAUGCACUCCUCCAUCUGAUGAUGUGUACUCCUCCAUCUGACGACAUGCACUCCUCCAUCUGACGUGCACUCCUCCAUCUGACGAUGUGCACUCCUCCAUCUGACAUGCACUCCUCCAUCUGAUGACGUGCACUCCUCCAUCUGAUGAUGUGCACUCCUCCAUCUGACGACGUGCACUCCUACAUCUGACAUGCACUCCUCCUUCUGACAAUGUGUACUCCUCCGUCUGAUGUGCACUCCUCCAUCUGACAAUGUGCACUCCUCCAUCUGAUGCACACUCCUCCGACGACGUGCACUCCUCCAUCUGACAAUGUGUACUCCUCCAUCUGAUGAUGUGUACUACUCCAUCUGACAAUGUGUACUCCUCCAUCUGACAUGCACUCCUCCAUCUGACAAUGUGUACUCCUCCAUCUGAUGAUGUGUACUCCUCCAUCUGACGUGUACUCCUCCAUCUGACGUGCACUCCUCCAUCUGACAAUGUGUACUCCUCCAUCUGACAUGCAUUCCUCCAUCUGACAAUGUGCACUCCUCCAUCUGAUGUGCACGCCUCCAUUUGACAAUGUGUACUCCUCCAUCUGAUGCGCAUUCCUCCAUCUGACGACGUGCACUCCUCCAUCUGACGAUGUGUUUUGAUGAAAACCCAGCAUCCCCUGUCACAGUUAAGAAACUCCUGCCCACUCUUAACUCUGCAGGUCCAUGUAGGUGUGGAGCAGCAAGAAUAAGACACAAAAGGCAUAAAGAUCAUAAGGGAAGAAGUGAAACGGAAUUGAUUUGCAGGUGAUGUGACUUUGUCGAAAACCCAAAGGCAUCUACAAGUUGCCAGAAUCAAGAGGUGAAUUUACCAACAAGUUGGGACACAGUGUCCAUGUACAAAAUCAGGGCAUGUCCCACAUUUUAGCAACAAACCAGAACCAAGAGGUGAAUUUACCAACACGUCAGGACAGAGUGUCCAUGUACAAAAUCAGGGCAUGUCCCACAUUUUAGCAACAAACCAGAACCAAGAGGUGAAUUUACCAACACGUCAGGACACAGUGUCCAUGUACAAAACCAGGGCAUUUCGCACAUUUUAGCAACAAACAAUUGGAAAAUAAAAUUUCAAAUACUAUUGAUAAAAUUAUCAAAAUUUAUUUGUAAAAUAUACUUAUAAAAGUAUCAAAAAUCCAUCAAAUACCUAGGAAUAAAUGUAAUGAAAACUAUGCAAUAAUAUUGCUUGGAGAAACUGAAAAAAACCUAAAUAAACGUUGAGAUACAUCAUGUGCAGGGAUCAGAAGCCUCAAUAUUGUAGGAUAUCAAUUCUCCCCAAAAUGAUCUAUAGAUUUGACACAAUCUCAAUAAACAUCCCAG
rnacentral:lncRNA from 1 species